rnacentral:rRNA from 1 species
CCAGCGAUGGUGUCGCGUUANGUCGAGCGGAUGACGGGAGCUUGCUCCUUGAUUAGCGGCGGACGGGUGAGUAAUGCCUAGGAAUCUGCCUGGUAGUGGGGGACAACGUUUCGAAAGGAACGCUAAUACCGCAUACGUCCUACGGGAGAAAGCAGGGGACCUUCGGGCCUUGCGCUAUCAGAUGAGCCUAGGUCGGAUUAGCUAGUUGGUGAGGUAAUGGCUCACCAAGGCGACGAUCCGUAACUGGUCUGAGAGGAUGAUCAGUCACACUGGAACUGAGACACGGUCCAGACUCCUACGGGAGGCAGCAGUGGGGAAUAUUGGACAAUGGGCGAAAGCCUGAUCCAGCCAUGCCGCGUGUGUGAAGAAGGUCUUCGGAUUGUAAAGCACUUUAAGUUGGGAGGAAGGGCAGUAAGCUAAUACCUUGCUGUUUUGACGUUACCGACAGAAUAAGCACCGGCUAACUCUGUGCCAGCAGCCGCGGUAAUACAGAGGGUGCAAGCGUUAAUCGGAAUUACUGGGCGUAAAGCGCGCGUAGGUGGUUCGUUAAGUUGGAUGUGAAAGCCCCGGGCUCAACCUGGGAACUGCAUCCAAAACUGGCGAGCUAGAGUACGGUAGAGGGUGGUGGAAUUUCCUGUGUAGCGGUGAAAUGCGUAGAUAUAGGAAGGAACACCAGUGGCGAAGGCGACCACCUGGACUGAUACUGACACUGAGGUGCGAAAGCGUGGGGAGCAAACAGGAUUAGAUA